ACAAAAAAACUCAUCCCCCUUCCCCUUUCCUUCUCCUUGAUGCCACCUCCCUCUCCCCCUGCACCUUCCUUCUUCCAGUCGCUCCCUCUUGCCACCUUUCCGUUCCUCUCCUGCCGUGAUUGCUCCACAUCACCAGCCCGUCGCCACCGUCCACGUCGCCUCUUGCCAUCGAGGAAGAGCUGUUCACGAGGAGGAAGCUUCCUCUCUUGCUACUGAGCCCAAAAAGCCACAUGUCGCCGUCCUUUCGCCAAUCUGACGUUGGAAUUGAGUCCCUCGCCCUCCAAAAGCUAGGAACAGCUCCUCCCUAUCCCCAUUCCUCCAUCAGCACCCUUGGGAGAGCCUUACCGAAGUAGCAACAUUCUCACCGCGAUCUAGCGGUUUUCAGUAAAGGCUAGGCUGUGAUUUUGUUGUUUUUGGCUUCAACAUGUUUCAAGCUUUCGGAUUUGAAUUCCAAAACCGUUGGCGGUAUCGGCUUUCAGACCCUGGUAUUUUUCAAACGCGCAUAAUUUCGGAGUUUCAUCUCGGAUGAGGCAACAUUACAACAUACCACCUGAUGGGCUACCUCAGGAUUGCGUGCACACCGGUGAAAAUCAGCAUCAGGUAAUAGAGGAAUAUUCAAUGAUGUGCCCUAGUCGAGCACAACUCCCUGGGCUUAUGGAAGUCUGAUUUGCCGGAGAAAGAUCUCUGGUCGAGCGUUGCUCUCUAAGCACUGGCUAUAUUAGUAUUAAGUGACCUGACUGAACUUAAGGACCAUAGUCGAGCUUUACUCUCUAGGCGCCAGUCUUAUUGGAUUAAUAGAGCCGAAAGGCUGCUAGAAUUAGAGAUUUAGAGUUCUCUUGAAGUACUCAUCCUGUGUAUGUUAAAAUCACAUAUCCUUUUUAAAUUACAAUAUGACACGCAUUUGUUAUUUUGAGAUAUUAUGUACUAUUAAAUAAUUAUUUUA